rnacentral:lncRNA from 1 species
UGCACACCAAACAUGGCAAGGAGUACGGCCAUCCGAUCUACGCCUACUUCCUCGCGUGGCCGCCUGCGUUCCUCGCUCCAGAAUACUGACUUCCCCGUGAUUGGUAAAACCUCCUUCCCUCUUCAAGAUACCACUCAUCGACGUUGCUUGAUCAUAUGCUUAAUGCUGCCUUGAGUUGUUCCUUGCAUGUGCAUGUGAUGAUAGGUGCAUUCCGACUAAGUUAUUUUACCGGUGCUGGUAUGUACGGGUGACCAAUCCACCAUCCAUCACUUUUGUCAAGAUCUGUGCAUAUCUUAUACUCUAUUUCCAGAUAUUAGAUUAGACAUAGCAAUACAUGUACUGGUGUCAGGUAUUGUCAGCUUUACAGAAGAGAGAGAGUUAGAGUGGGGAGAACGGUGCAUGCAUGCAUGCAUUCUCUCAAGCCAUACAUAUGGCAUGCUUUUAUUUUUCUCCUCAUAUUUUUAAUGAUUCAUAUCUUUUGAACCAAAUGUCUAUUAUUGAAUUUUUUAUAUAUUUAAAUUCAUGGUGACAAGACCUUCAGAACAAGAUCAAUUUUGGAUAUGUUUGAAAUAUAUUUUAUUUUAUGUAUUUCAAUCUUGUUUGAAAUCACUUUCAUAAACCAUUAGAUUGUUUCACUAUGUCAUAAAAGUUUUUUCUAGUGUUUCACUCAUUUUCAUAAACUGGAAUAUGGAACUCACAGAGACACGGAUAUAUUUGAUAGGAAAACAUUUUUUCUAGCUUUUCCUAGUGUUUCGCUCAUUUUUCACAAUCUGGAAUAUGGAACACACAAAGUUUUUUCUAGUGUUUCGUUCAUUUUCAAUCAUUUGAAUAAACAUAUUUCACUCAAUUUCAAAAGAUGGAUUUAGGCCCAUUCGAGAUGAUGGAUAUCACUCAUUCGACAAUUUAUUUCAAACAUUUCAGAUAACUGAUUUCACUCAUUGAAUCAAACAACACAUUUCACUCAUUUGAUACAACUGAUUUGAGUCGUUCAAUUGAAAGAAAUACCUGUUUCAAUAAUUUGAAAAACUAAUUUCACUCAUUUGAAAAUAAAAAUAUUCUUGUUUCGAGAAGCUGGUAUAUGUCAAAAAAAUAAACUUAAAUUAUUUCAUAGAACUAACUUCACUCAUUUGAUGUCACUUGUUUCAAAUUACUCAUUUCAAUUAUUUAAAAAAACCGAUUUCACUCAAUUGAAAAGAAAAAAAAUCGCUCGCUUCAUAAAACGGAUUACGCUCAUUUAAAAAAUUAUAUUUCACUCAUUUCAAAAACAAUUUCACUCAUUCAAACAAUGAUUUCAUUCAAUUCAUAAAAUUGUUUUCAUUGAAUUCAAAAAACAUAUUUCAGUUAAUUGAAAUAACCCAUUUCAUAAAACUGAUUUCACUCAUUACAAAAUAUAUCUCAAAAACUAAUUCCGCUUUGUAUUUACGAAAUAUAUUAAAAUGUAUUUCAAUCAUCUCAAAAGUUAGUUUCAAAUGUUUGAAAUAUAAAAUUUAACUUGAAUAACUGAAAUUUAAAUGAAAUGAAAAAACAAUUUCAUUCGCUUCAUAAAAUAGAUUUCGCUCGUUUAUAAUUUUUUUUUGAAAUAAUCUGUCUCACAUGUUUUGGUUUUGCUCAAAUACUUAUUUCGUGUAUUUUACAAAACAUGUUUCACUCAUUUGAAAUGUUGAAAUUAAAAGAUGUUUGAAUGUAUUCAAGAUUGAUCUUGUUCUGAAGGUCUGUGCAUCAGGAGUUCAAAUAUAUAAAAAGUUUCAAAAAUCAAGUUGCAGUUUAAAAUAUAUGAAUGAAUGAAAUUGCCAAAGAGAAAAUAAAGGACAUGAAUUAGUCUGACAUGUGAUACAUCUUCAGUACGUGAGAACGAGGAGAGAGAAUGGACCAUGCAUGCGUCAAGUAUAACUAUAUUGCUGACAUGGGCCCCUUUCAUCUGACAUUGAUUUGACUAUUAAUAAAGAUACAAAAGAUAGACUCUCAUUAUACACAUCUAUACAUUGUCUGUGGGCCUUCCUAUAGCACGAAUCACUUCGCAUUUGAGUGGCAGAUGGUUUGCCGGUAGGUACCGUAUCCGGUAAAAAGAGGUUUGCGAGGUGCAUUCGAUUUAGUUUACGCUGCUGGCGUUGGUAGCACAUAUAUAUCCAUUUGUUGUCGGAUUUUGCAAAGUUGCCAGGAUUUCUUAUUGCAAGACAGGCCUCUGAAGCCACUGUGCUUAAAGUGGUAACAAAUGUGAAGCAAUCAAUCCAAAAUACAUGUCUAUUUUAGAAUUUCUAGUCAUGAUUUCUUUCUCGAUUCCGGUUUCGAUAUAUGCUGGUGGUAGAAGGUCUAAUGCAUACAUAUACGUUCUUCCUCUACAUGGAUCAUAGUCUCUAGCUACACUGCACGCAUGUUCAUUUCUAUCCCGGUCUGUCAUAUUUCGCAUACCAACGCUUUCGCAAUUCAAUGGAGUUUGUUGAACGAAUUAAAUAUUGCUAUUUGUUACAGCCGUUAACAACUACUAGAACGAAUAGAGUAAACAUUCCUACUUGUUCUGCUGGUCGCAGCCAUUAAUUAACCAUUAGCUAAACUCUGCCUUAAAAAGGAGAGAGCCAGAAAUAACCAUAACGGCGUGUUUCCUAAAAUUUGGUCAUUUUUUUAUUGAAUGAGUAGUAUUUGGUCACUUAGAAGAGCAAAGAAACCUUAAUUAUGUUCAUCAUCUCAUUAGCACUUAAAUAGUUUUUUUCCCGUGGAAGUACCUUAUAUUUUGAAUUUUUCAUUGCUUAAAAUCAUUAAAUGCUGUCAGCAGUCCUUUGCUUUACUUGUACACUGGCCUAAUGUUUGUGAUCGCAGUUUGCUUGUACAUAGACAUGGCUUAAUGUUCUGAAUAGCAAUCUACUGGUCAAUAGUUUUUCAUUUUAGCAAACAGCCCAAUUGAUACAAUAUUCUUCUCAGAAUACUCAGCACUUUUCAGUUCAGCUGAAAUUGUGCAAACUCUCAGAAAACUCUUUCAGAAUUUUUGUUAUUGGAAAAGUGAGUUCUCAGGCCUGUUUCAGUUUUUGUAACACCAUCUAUAUAUAAGCUUAAAAUUUCCUUUUGCUUAUCAGUUUAGCUUUUAUGGCUUAUAUCUGCAAUUUAUGUGAAUCAGGUUCCUGACUUCUGAGAUCGGAAUCAGCACAGUUUUUAUUUGAAGUCAGUUGGAAUCCUAUCACCUCGGCUCACUAAUGCCAUGUGCACCUUCACGCAACGCGAGAGGAAGAAGCGCUCCUAUUACCUUGUUUAAUUAGACUAUCUAAGCAAUGUCAGCUCCUAUAUUUGUAUUUUAUCUAAGCAUCAUUUAGACUUGAUAUUCUCAAAACUGUUAUCUAAGCAUGCCAGUAAUACUCAUCGCACUUUUGAUUCUUAACAUUCUAUUCUCCUGAUUUGUUGAACUGCAUGGUUGUGUACCGUGGACACA